rnacentral:rRNA from 1 species
GUGAAAUUGUUGAAAGGGAAGCGCUUGCAAUCAGACUUGCAUGCAGUUGAUCAUCCGAUGUUCUCACCGGUGCACUCAUCUGCAUUCAGGCCAGCAUCGGUUUUGGUGGUUGGAUAAAGGCCCUGGGAAUGUAGCUUCUUUCGGGGAGUGUUAUAGCCCAAGGUGCAAUGCAGCCUACCAGGACCGAGGACCGCGCUUCGGCUAGGAUGCUGGCGUAAUGGUUGUAAGCGACCCGUCCUGAAACACGGACCAAGGAGUC